UUUUGAGCUAUCGCUGAAUUUUUCGGAAACGUUAACACCUUCCAUAGCAAGAAUCAAAGGACGCGUUUUACUCCAAAUUAAUGAUAUUUAUCACCUCUACGUAACCCCCUAUAUAUACCAUCACCUACCUUUGUCUCGACACCACAGUACCCUUCGAACAUAGUUGCACUUCGCCGGAAAUAACGGAGCUUUUGCGGGAGUUGCCGGAACCGGAGAAGACAACCGCGACCUCUUUCGUCGUCAUCGUUUCGCCGCUGCAUAUCCACCGGAAGACUGGAGCAUCGUGGGAGCCUUUGAACGCAAGUCGGAAACCCGCAAUCUUUUACGUUUCGGCUAAUCUCACUCUAGUGCUCCCUUCAAUCCAUCAUCGCUUACUAUAGUUUGGACUCAGCACCUGUCCACUCAGGGGUUGUUAAGGACAAUUUGUUACAUGGAUCACAGUGGUGAGUGUGUAUUACGAACUCCAUUGGGCAGUCAACCCGCAGUCAUUGGUAUCGAUAGGUUCAUGUCAAUAACCAACAUGCUUCAUUUCACACUGUGUGCUUAAGAUGUUUAGAUGCUUGGCUUGCUGUGAAAUCAAGGCUAGGAAAGGUCUAGAAA
rnacentral:lncRNA from 1 species